ensembl:lncRNA
GAAUGAUACAGAAAUGUAAAGGCAAUUUUCCCAGGAGCUUCUAAAGAAGGAUUUGAAGGUGCUAGUAAGCUUCUUCAACCAAAGAAAAUGAGGUCUUGGAGGAGUCUCAACUGUGAGCACCUGAAGGAGAAUAGCUUUAAUCAGCAAUUGGCUGAAGAAAACUCCAUGGGACUUAGCGGUAGCAAGGCUCAUUAAAUUACAUGAGGAGCAUUCUGCACAUUCAACUGAUGGUGAAAGCAUAAGGACCAAGAAGAUCUUAGAGCGAUUUGAGGAACAGAGAAGGCAAAGAACAGUUUGGAAUGACCUGAGAGACAGUGCCUGUGUAUUUCUUUCAAGCCUAUCAUGCUUGCUGUCAUCUUCAGAACUACAGUUUUUAAAAAAAUAAAGUUGCCUAUGUGGUUUUAUUUACUAUAUCAACCAUGGAAGAAGGGAACUAAAUUCAGUGACUGAUGGGUCUGACAGCCAAAAUGUUCAUAUAGUCUCUGAUGGGUGCAUUUACUUCUUCGUGUGUUUAAGAGUCCUUGAAUUCCAAACAUUUAAAUAGAUUAUUGCAAAUAUAUUUUUCAUUUCUUGGUCAAGUCCAGAGUAAUAG